UCCGAUAUGGUCUAGUGGCUAGGAUUUGCCGCUCUCAUCAAGCCUCUGGCUUCUGAGUGUCCGGCAAGGCCCGGGUUCGAUUCCCGGUGUCGGAA
rnacentral:tRNA from 1 species